rnacentral:rRNA from 1 species
GAUGAACGCUGGCGGCGUGCUUAACACAUGCAAGUCGAACGAUGAAGCCCAGCUUGCUGGGUGGAUUAGUGGCGAACGGGUGAGUAACACGUGAGUAACCUGCCCUUAACUCUGGGAUAAGCCUGGGAAACUGGGUCUAAUACCGGAUAGGAGCGCCUACCGCAUGGUGGGUGUUGGAAAGAUUUAUCGGUUUUGGAUGGACUCGCGGCCUAUCAGCUUGUUGGUGAGGUAAUGGCUCACCAAGGCGACGACGGGUAGCCGGCCUGAGAGGGUGACCGGCCACACUGGGACUGAGAAACGGCCCAGACUCCUACGGGAGGCAGCAGUGGGGAAUAUUGCACAAUGGGCGAAAGCCUGAUGCAGCGACGCCGCGUGAGGGAUGACGGCCUUCGGGUUGUAAACCUCUUUCAGUAGGGAAGAAGCGAAAGUGACGGUACCUGCAGAAGAAGCACCGGCUAACUACGUG